AUAUUAUUAGAUACAGCAUUAAUGGUAAUCUUUUUCAGGCGGAGAAAGAAUCGAUCGAGGAACUGAGGACUUGCAGUUGUUGCAGGAGGAUUGUCGGAACAAAUGUUUUAAACUGGUAAAAAGCAAGAUAAUCAGGAAAGAAGAGGAGGAGGAACCGAGGACUAAAUAAUUGCAAGAAGACUGUCUGAACAAUUAUUUUUAAGAGAGCGGUAAAAUGCAAGAUAACCAGAAAGAGAAACUGAAGACCUGCAGGAGGACUCAAAGCAAUAGGAUCGUCGGAACAAAUUUGUUGGAAGCAGGAGAAAGCAUCGAAGAAUUGAUGACAUGCAUUGGUCGCAAGAGGAUCGUCGCAACAGAGAGAGCAUCGAGGACAUGCAUUAAUCGCAAGAGGAUCGUCGGAACGGAGAAAGCAUCGGGAACAUGUGGUGAUUGCAAGAGGAUCGUCGGAAUAGAGUGCAUCGAGGACAUGAAGAGAUCGCAUGGAGAUCGUCAGAACAGAGAAAGCAUCGAGGAACUGAGGGGAUGCAGUGAUCAAUCGCAAGAGGGUUGUCGGAACAGUUAUAUAAUUGAAAGUCGGUAAUCCAGGGCAAUAUAGUUUUGUUAAACUUCUGGACACCUUACUAAUCUCUAAGUUAUUUGUUGUUGUUGCGCAGCCCGGUGUCACAGAUUCUGAUGUUCGUAAGCUGCUGUAAAAUUUUUCGAAGAUAUAUCUGCUGGAAUAAUUCCGAAACUUAAAUUACCUUAUCACCUUAACGAUAAUUCUAUUACCCUCCAAACAUACUUUACAAAUAAAUCUACAGUACUUUC